rnacentral:rRNA from 1 species
CUGCAGGAAUUCGAUUCUGGUUGAUCCUGCCAGUAGUCAUAUGCUUGUCUCAAAGAUUAAGCCAUGCAUGUCUAGGUAUAAAUAGUAUACAGUGAAACUGCGAAUGGCUCAUUAAAACAGUUAUAGUUUAUUUGAUAAUCGAAAGCUACAUGGAUAACCGUGGUAAUUCUAGAGCUAAUACAUGCAGUCAGACCCGACCUUCGGAAGGGUUGUAUAUAUUAGAUAUCAAGCCAAUACUCCUUCGGGUUUAUUGUGGUGAAUCAUAGUAACUGAUCGAAUCCCUCAGGGAUAAAUCAUUCAAGUUUCUGCCCUAUCAGCUUUCGAUGGUAGUGUAUUGGACUACCAUGGCAGUCACGGGUAACGGGGAAUUAGGGUUCGAUUCCGGAGAGGGAGCCUGAGAAACGGCUACCACUUCUAAGGAAGGCAGCAGGCGCGUAAAUUACCCAGUCCUAAUUCAGGGAGGUAGUGACAAGAAAUAACGGACUGAGGUUAUGCCUCAGGAUUGCAAUGAGUAGAAUCUAAACCCCUUUACGAGGAUCCAUUGGAGGGCAAGUCUGGU